CGCACGGUGGAUGCCUUGACACUAGGAGUCGAUGAAGGACGGGACUAACGCCGAUAUGCUUCGGGGAGCUGUAAGUAAGCUUUGAUCCGAAGAUUUCCGAAUGGGGAAACCCACCAUACGUAAUGGUAUGGUAUCCUUAUCUGAAUACAUAGGGUAAGGAAGACAGACCCAGGGAACUGAAACAUCUAAGUACCUGGAGGAAGAGAAAGCAAAUGCGAUUUCCUGAGUAGCGGCGAGCGAAACGGAACAUAGCCCAAACCAAGAGGCUUGUCUCUUGGGGUUGUAGGACAUUCUAUACGGAGUUACAAAGGAACGAGGUAGACGAAGCGACCUGGAAAGGUCCGUCGUAGAGGGUAACAACCCCGUAGUCGAAACUUCGUUCUCUCUUGAAUGUAUCCUGAGUACGGCGGAACACGUGAAAUUCCGUCGGAAUCUGGGAGGACCAUCUCCCAAGGCUAAAUACUCCCUAGUGAUCGAUAGUGAACCAGUACCGUGAGGGAAAGGUGAAAAGCACCCCGGAAGGGGAGUGAAAGAGAUCCUGAAACCGUGUGCCUACAAAUAGUCAGAGCCCGUUAACGGGUGAUGGCGUGCCUUUUGUAGAAUGAACCGGCGAGUUACGAUCCCGUGCGAGGUUAAGCUGAAGAGGCGGAGCCGCAGCGAAAGCGAGUCUGAAUAGGGCGUUUAGUACGUGGUCGUAGACCCGAAACCAGGUGAUCUACCCAUGUCCAGGGUGAAGUUCAGGUAACACUGAAUGGAGGCCCGAACCCACGCACGUUGAAAAGUGCGGGGAUGAGGUGUGGGUAGCGGAGAAAUUCCAAUCGAACCUGGAGAUAGCUGGUUCUCCCCGAAAUAGCUUUAGGGCUAGCCUUAAGUGUAAGAGUCUUGGAGGUAGAGCACUGAUUGGACUAGGGGUCCUCAUCGGAUUACCGAAUUCAGUCAAACUCCGAAUGCCAAUGACUUAUCCUUAGGAGUCAGACUGCGAGUGAUAAGAUCCGUAGUCAAAAGGGAAACAGCCCAGACCGCCAGCUAAGGUCCCAAAGUGUGUAUUAAGUGGAAAAGGAUGUGGAGUUGCUUAGACAACUAGGAUGUUGGCUUAGAAGCAGCCACCAUUUAAAGAGUGCGUAAUAGCUCACUAGUCGAGUGACUCUGCGCCGAAAAUGUACCGGGGCUAAAUACACCACCGAAGCUGCGGAUUGAUACCGAAUGGUAUCAGUGGUAGGGGAGCGUUCUAAGGACAGUGAAGUCAGACCGGAAGGACUGGUGGAGUGCUUAGAAGUGAGAAUGCCGGUAUGAGUAGCGAAAGACGGGUGAGAAUCCCGUCCACCGAAUGCCUAAGGUUUCCUGAGGAAGGCUCGUCCGCUCAGGGUUAGUCAGGACCUAAGCCGAGGCCGACAGGCGUAGGCGAUGGACAACAGGUUGAUAUUCCUGUACCACCUCUUUAUCGUUUGAGCAAUGGAGGGACGCAGAAGGAUAGAAGAAGCGUGCGAUUGGUUGUGCACGUCCAAGCAGUUAGGCUGAUAAGUAGGCAAAUCCGCUUAUCGUAAAGGCUGAGCUGUGAUGGGGAAGCUCCUUAUGGAGCGAAGUCUUUGAUUCCCCGCUGCCAAGAAAAGCUUCUAGCGAGAUAAAAGGUGCCUGUACCGCAAACCGACACAGGUAGGCGAGGAGAGAAUCCUAAGGUGUGCGAGAGAACUCUGGUUAAGGAACUCGGCAAAAUGACCCCGUAACUUCGGGAGAAGGGGUGCUUUCUUAACGGAAAGCCGCAGUGAAUAGGCCCAAGCGACUGUUUAGCAAAAACACAGCUCUCUGCGAAGCCGUAAGGCGAAGUAUAGGGGGUGACACCUGCCCGGUGCUGGAAGGUUAAGGAGAGGGGUUAGCGUAAGCGAAGCUCUGAACUGAAGCCCCAGUAAACGGCGGCCGUAACUAUAACGGUCCUAAGGUAGCGAAAUUCCUUGUCGGGUAAGUUCCGACCCGCACGAAAGGUGUAACGAUUUGGGCACUGUCUCAACCAGAGACUCGGUGAAAUUAUAGUACCUGUGAAGAUGCAGGUUACCCGCGACAGGACGGAAAGACCCCGUGGAGCUUUACUGUAGCCUGAUAUUGAAUUUUGGUACAGUUUGUACAGGAUAGGCGGGAGCCUUUGAAACCGGAGCGCUAGCUUCGGUGGAGGCGCUGGUGGGAUACCGCCCUGACUGUAUUGAAAUUCUAACCUACGGGUCUUAUCGACCCGGGAGACAGUGUCAGGUGGGCAGUUUGACUGGGGCGGUCGCCUCCUAAAGUGUAACGGAGGCGCCCAAAGGUUCCCUCAGAAUGGUUGGAAAUCAUUCGUAGAGUGCAAAGGCAUAAGGGAGCUUGACUGCGAGACCUACAAGUCGAGCAGGGACGAAAGUCGGGCUUAGUGAUCCGGUGGUUCCGCAUGGAAGGGCCAUCGCUCAACGGAUAAAAGCUACCCCGGGGAUAACAGGCUUAUCUCCCCCAAGAGUCCACAUCGACGGGGAGGUUUGGCACCUCGAUGUCGGCUCAUCGCAUCCUGGGGCUGUAGUCGGUCCCAAGGGUUGGGCUGUUCGCCCAUUAAAGCGGUACGCGAGCUGGGUUCAGAACGUCGUGAGACAGUUCGGUCCCUAUCCGUCGUGGGCGUAGGAAAUUUGAGAGGAGCUGUCCUUAGUACGAGAGGACCGGGAUGGACGCACCGCUGGUGUACCAGUUGUUCUGCCAAGGGCAUAGCUGGGUAGCUAUGUGCGGAAGGGAUAAGUGCUGAAAGCAUCUAAGCAUGAAGCCCCCCUCAAGAUGAGAUUUCCCAUAGCGUAAGCUAGUAAGAUCCCUGAAAGAUGAUCAGGUUGAUAGGUUCGAGGUGGAAGCAUGGUGACAUGUGGAGCUGACGAAUACUAAUAGAUCGAGGACUUAACCAU
rnacentral:rRNA from 1 species